rnacentral:rRNA from 1 species
GACGAACGCUGGCGGCGUGCUUAACACAUGCAAGUCGAACGGACAGGCCCUGCUUUUGUUGGUUGCUCGAGUGGCGAACGGGUGAGUAACACGUGAGUAACCUGCCCUUGACUUUGGGAUAACUUCAGGAAACUGGGUCUAAUACCGGAUAUGAGCUCCUGCUGCAUGGUGGGGGUUGGAAAGUUUCGGCGGUUGGGGAUGGACUCGCGGCUUAUCAGCUUGUUGGUGGGGUAGUGGCUUACCAAGGCUUUGACGGGUAGCCGGCCUGAGAGGGUGACCGGCCACAUGGGGACUGAGAGACGGCCCAGAAUCCUACGGGAGGCAGCAGUGGGGAAUAUUGCACAAUGGGCGGAAGCCUGAUGCAGCAACGCCGCGUGCGGGAUGACGGCCUUCGGGUUGUAAACCGCUUUCGCCUGUGACGAAGAGUGAGUGACGGUAAUGGGUAAAGAAGCACCGGCUAACUACGUG